CUAGCCUGGGAACUUCCCUAUUCUGCAGGUAUGGCCCUAAAAAGCAAAAAAAAAAAAACCAGAAAACAAAAACAAACCAAAACCCUAUCAGUAGGGUGUUCUGUUACUUGAAACCAAAAGUAGUCCCAUUGUUAUGAAUAGCACUGGUUACCUGCAAGGCCCUGUGCUGGGACGUCAGGGAAAUAAAAGGUCUACUGGCUACGACCCCCUCUUCAGGGGGCAGGCAAUCCAGUUGGUUGACUUUUUUCAGUUAAGGUCCAGAAAGUCCAUACUUCAGACUUUGUGAGCUGUACAGGGUCUGUCACAACUACCCAGCUCUGUCUGUAGCUGUGCUGAGAAAGCAGGUGUAGAUGAGAGAAAUGAGUGAAUUUGGCUGGGUUCCAAUAGACCUUUAUUCACGGACAUGACAUUCAUAGGUUGUUCAAGUAUCACAAAAUAUUCAUCUUCUGGUUUUUUCCUCAACCAUUUAAAGAUGUAAAAACCUUUUUUAGCAAGCUGUACCAAACUGUGAGGUAGGCUAGACUUGGCUCAUGAGCCACAGAUGACUGACCCUUGUGCUGGACAAAGGAAAAACCUACAAAAAAAAGACUCUCUUUUUGAUUUACAGGUAGGGGGAAACUGAACGUUUGGUUUUUUUUCCACUUUUGUCCUUAAGCAAAGGUAACCUCUUGAGAAGGACUGACCAAGAGGUGAAGGAGGACUGGAAAACAGAAGUGAAUGGAAGAAAUGGCCAAAGACUUUCAUGCUUUUGAGAUCUGGUUUAAGAAGUUAUCUCCUCCCCAGGUUACUGAGAUAUUGACCCAUACUUCCUUCUAUUAUUCUCAUUGUUUCAGUUUUCAGAUUCUGGUUUUGAACUGACCUUGCGUUCACUUCACUUGUAGUGGUAGGUGGGGAUCCAGUUUUAGUUUCAUACCCAGAGUAGCAGGAUUUCCCAAGAUCAUCUUCUGAGGACCCUUCUUUUCCCCCAUUUGUUGUAGAGGAUGGUCCGGGGGCAACCCGAGUGUCUGUCACCUGGGGAAUGGGAGGUGCUUCCAUCCUUUGUAAGGAUGGGCAUCCUGAGGUGCAGACAGCAGGGAGAAGCAAAGCCAGGGAGAAGCAAAGCCAGUAAAUCCUCAUAGCAGCGCAGAUCCUAAGGCUGCAGAGGCAACAUCUUGCAGUACAUGUGUAAUUUUAAAACAUGCAUUCAUCACCACCACAAAGCCUUUCCACAAAGCCUGAAACAGAGUCACCUCAAGCACAGAAUGCUGGCAUCAUUGGGGGCGGGGGCGGGGGGGGGUCGGGAGGGAGGAAAGUGAAUAGGAGAAUAAAAAAAUAUAUAAAGCAAGGGAACAGACUUAUGAGGGAACCAAUGGGACUAAUUAAUGUGGAGACUAAUUCUCCCAAACAGAGGAAUAAAAUUAACUCAUCAUCUAGGUUAUUAAAAAAAAAAAAAAGAUUAAUGAGGAUCUUGAAAAACCAGAUCUGUUUCAUGUUGUGACCUGGGGUUUCCUGCUCAUUCCUGCCUUCUGAGUGAAAGCUUGGUGAGUCAUCCUGCCUCAGCGAGGAAACUUCCUCUGAGGCGGGGUGGCAGACCUCUGGAUGAGUGAGAAAAUGCCAGAAGUUUUGUCAAGCGUGAGAGAGUGUGAGAAAGGAUGGGAGCACUGCAGCAGGAAGACCAUGCUGGCAGGGUUGUGAGGCUAGAUCAGAGAGAGUAAGUUAACUGUCACCCACCCCCAAGGGCCACAAUGGCAAUGACAGUGAGUGCUUUUCACAUGUUGGGCAAUAAUUUAGAUGUUUGACAUCCUCACAAGAACCUGCCAAACGGGGGAAAGGUGGGAGAGGAACUCUAAUUGUUCUGAUUUUUCAGAUGAGAAGACUAAGACACAGAGAGGUGAAGUCAUUUGCCCAAGAUCACACAAUUGUGUAGCCAGUCCUGAUCCUGCCUCCAGCUCAGCCCCUUAAAGUGCAAAGCCUGGAACAGCCACAUCCCAAGAUGUGUCAACGGGGCUCCUCUGAACUUGCUGAUACUGAGGAGUUGGCAGAGCUGGCUUAGAGGUAACCACUAUGGAGGUGAGGGCUGACACCCCUGCCAGGCCGCCCAAAACACACCCAGAGGCUAAGCCAACCAACUACAUUGGGUCCACAAAGGGAGUAGUCUUGGUUCCCCAAGUGAUUUCUGAUAUGUGCUUUGGCCGGAAGCCACCCUUGCUUAAGCAGCAGGUAUCAAACAGCCCUGUGAAGCCACUGCGGUGCCUCCUAGGGAUGUUACUAAGGAUUCUAUUGACGCCUAUUAAAUCUAAUGUCACGAGUACUCUGAUCUCAGCACACAGAAUGGUUAGCCUGGUCCUGAGCAGCUGUUUGUGUUCUCUUUUUAGGAAAAAAGUCAGUGUCACUGUGGGCCAUAUCACUCAUUGUUGCCUUCACCUGUCUCACUGUUAGGAAGCCAAGAGGCAGUUCUGCCUCUGCUAGCAAGUGCAGGGCCUGUGCUGCAUACAUAUUGGUGACAGGCCCCAUUCUUGGCUUCAUUUUAUUUUUCCUGCCCACACUUUUGUCCCAGUUUCCACAUCUAUUUGUUUAAAGUUUUAACUUAUUGUGUGUAUUUUUGUAAGCCAUCUCACAUCCUUUCUAGAAAAAAAAGGUUUUAACUCAAUAAAUGACAAUUGUUAAACAAUAUUAAAUUCUACAAGAUCAAGUGCCUUCAUGCCAUAAAAUUCCUAUAAAAUAAGAUUUUUUUUUUUUUUUUUAGGACCCAUGGACUUGAGCAGUAUUAUUCGCAGGAGCAUUCUGGCACAAUAGGUAAACUUCGUGGAGCCCCUAUCCUGACAUCUGUACCACAUUUGGUGAACUGAAGACAAUGAAGACAAAAUCUAGACCUUGCAGCCUCCUGAGGGCCCUCCUCACUUCUCU